AUGAUGAAGAGGCAUUAAUGGCGCCAAGAUGGCCGACGCUGGAACAACUGA
rnacentral:snoRNA from 2 species